rnacentral:rRNA from 1 species
CACGUAGGGCGCAAGCGUUGUCCGGAAUUAUUGGGCGUAAAGAGCUCGUAGGCGGCCUGUUGCGUCCGCUGUGAAAGCCCGGGGCUUAACCCCGGGUCGGCAGUGGAUACGGGCAGGCUAGAGGUAGGUAGGGGAGAAUGGAAUUCCCGGUGUAGCGGUGAAAUGCGCAGAUAUCGGGUGGAACACCGGUGGCGAAGGCGGUUCUCUGGGCCUUACCUGACGCUGAGGAGCGAAAGCGUGGGGAGCGAACAGG